GACGAACGCUGGCGGCGUGCCUAAUACAUGCAAGUCGAACGAGAAAUUCUUACACCGGAUGCUUGCAUCCACCGUAAGAUUUCGAGUGGCGGACGGGUGAGUAACACGUGGGUAACCUGCCCAAAAGAAGGGGAUAACAUUUGGAAACAAGUGCUAAUACCGUAUAACCAUGAUGACCGCAUGGUCAUGAUGUAAAAGGUGGUUUUGCUAUCGCUUUUGGAUGGACCCGCGGCGUAUUAACUAGUUGGUAAGGUAACGGCUUACCAAGGUGAUGAUACGUAGCCGAACUGAGAGGUUGAUCGGCCACAAUGGGACUGAGACACGGCCCAUACUCCUACGGGAGGCAGCAGUAGGGAAUCUUCCACAAUGGGCGCAAGCCUGAUGGAGCAACGCCGCGUGUAUGAAGAAGGCCUUCGGGUUGUAAAGUACUUUCAGCGGGGAGGAAGGGAGUAAAGUUAAUACCUUUGCUCAUUGACGUUACCCGCAGAAGAAGCACCGGCUAACUCCGUGCCAGCCGCCGCAGUAACAC
rnacentral:rRNA from 1 species